ACAAGGUUUAACCAGAAAUAAUUUCUCCGAGCAUAAACUGAGGUUAGCGGGCCUAUCAGCUCUUCCUCCUCGCUCCGCCACCGCUGCUGACCCGAGGAGCAGCCUGGAAAGCAGCCGCCCUCCCGCAAACAGCAGAAUGACGCAUCAUCCAUCAAAAAUGUGAGUGUGAGGAUGGUGGGACCAUUCUGGCACGCUUGAGCAGCAGGGCCCUCUGAGCCCUCAGAUGUCAUCCAGCCAGGUGUGUGGGGGCCACUUGCCAUGCACAGCUUCUCUCAGCAGAGGUUGGUGAACCGUACUCCAACAGAAAGGGGAAAUAAGACUGUAAGUAGUUUUAAAAAGUUGAACUAAGAGAAAAGCUUUAUUGUGAAACUAUGAGGAUUAUUUCUGUGCACUGGCUGCCCCGUCAUAUGUCAUGGCAUGUGGCGGGUUGACUGCUCAUUAAUUCUAUUUAUAUCAGUAUGAUAAUCCACCCCACUGAGUAUGCAUGUGUUAAAAUAUUCAUAAAUUAUGUUUAUUGUGACCAAAUAUACAUUAAAUGCCAAAAGAAGACCAUUAUUUAAAGACAAAACUAGUCAACAAUCAAACAAGCAAAGCCUUUUUACUGUCAGUCCAGUACAUUAUGUUUUAUCAAAUUCACAUGAAUUACCUCUCCUUCCAGUGCCCCAUAAGGAAUGUUUAUCCUUUGUUUUUAAACUAUGCAAAGAAAUAGACUUCACUGAAAGGAAUAGAUUUGGAAAACAAAAGCUGUUACAUGAUCUCAGACUAAUAAUAACAUGGGCUGGAAGAAACCAUCUAGGGAAAUGCACUUCUGGCUUCCAAAAUUAUUUGAUCCCUAAUAUACCCUUGACCUGAAUUUGAUGGUAUUUCAUAAAAUCAUAGACUAAGUUAAAUAAAGCAACUAACUUUUUUUGAUAAACUAGGCUGCCAAUAGAAUUUUAAGUUUGUACAUUUUUUUUGAAAACAAAACAAAACAAAAAAUAGGAUGGUUAAGAAAAUCUACAAGGUUGAGAAUUGAGACCAGUAAUUAAACUAUACUGUGGCAGACUGUUUUGGAACUUAUUACUUCCAAAUGAAGCAAUCCUUAACUACUCUGUUUUGAAUGAUUCCAGGAAGUUGAAAAAAUUGAGGUGAUUAUUCUUUUUACAGGCUGCUUAUGCAGCAACACAGCACAGUUGAAAAGUUUGAAUUCCUUGUCAAAAUCCAAAGUGGUUUUAGUUAGAAUAUAUUGCCUAACUUACCCAAUUUAUCAUAUUCUGAAUUGAAGCCAUGAAAACAUUUAAGAUUAUUAAUUAUGAGGACCAUACUUCAGAUUUAACCAAAAUAAUGAUCAUUUUAAAAAGUGACCUUAGUGCUGACUUAAUAGUCUAUUUGUAAUAUCCUCUAGGAAACUGUUAAAAAUUUCAAAACUUAAAUUAUACUUGAAAGGACUUUUUUCUAAAUCAAAACAAUAAGUGAUGAGUAAAACAAAAUAGAAAUUUCUGAAUUUAUUUCAUUGUCACCAUAUGCUUAUUUUAAAGAAGAACACAACAUUUAGAGAACAAAACAGUAAAAAUUAAAUAUUUUUCUCAUGUUGCCAAUACUAUGGGAGUGAAGUCGCCACUCAGAUUUCAUGUUAAUUUCAAGUAAGAUUUUUGGUUUUCUAUAUAAUGACACCAUUAUAGAAUGUUUUACUUUCUACUUUUCCUUGGAAGAAAAAUGUCUUUACUUCCAUACAAUCUUUUAAGAAACCUAAACAGUAUGGCAACCUAAACUGGUAUAGGAAAUCUCUGCAAGGAAAUAAUUCAAAAUGUGGAAAAAGCCAUAUGUAAAAAUUUUCUUUAAAACAUUAUUUAUAAUAGCAAACAUUGGAAGGCAUUUUAAUAUCUAGCAAUGGAAGCUUGGUUAGGCAAAGAUGACAAUAUUCAUUUGAUGAAAUAUUAUGCAGUCAAUAAAAUUGGUAUGCGGCAGUAUUAGAAAUAUGGGAAAAAAUACUAAGUUAAAAAAAGGAUACAAGAUGAAGGUGUAGCAUGAUUAUAAUAAUUUUAACACAUGCAAAUAAUAAAACACUAAAAGAGGAUGCACAAAAAUGUUAAUCAUCAAAUUAAAGAUUGAAAUGGAUUUUUUACUCUCUUUUCAAGCUUUUAUUAUGUUGUCUUAUGUAAUUUAAAGUGCAUUUUAACAUUUCAAAAUUAUCAUCAGUAAUCAAUUUAUAUUUUUUCUUUAGAUGUCAUAAAUAAUCACCAUAGAUUUUUGAGGAGAAAAAUUAGGCAACUCCCAUUUUCAAAGAUGUUAAUUUUAAAACGAGUAUCCCAAUGUGUGGUUUUAGUUGUCAAACCCAAUUUGAUUUCUAUGGAAUCAUAGUGUGCACAUAUUUUAUUAAAUAAUAAUUCCCUCUUUUAUUAAAAAAAAACCUGCUUAUUAUUUUUAACUCUAAACGACAGCUUUUUCGCCUCUCAGUUCUCAAAAACCCUGAGCAGCCAUUUCAGAAAACAAAACAAAAGAAAACCCCACAUAUCAAAACACCACAAAACCCUCUCAUUAAGCUCUCUGCAAAGUUUGAGAUGUACUUUCAUGUGAAUCUUGGCCUCUGUACAGCACUGCUGCACAAUCAUUUUCAUCUGAGAUUUGAACAUAUUGGAAGAACUAGAGCCUUCCUUUCUUUUAUCCUGUCAUUUCCCCCCCCUGGAAGUGACAGGCAUAUGGCAGGCACCCUCCCUAGAUUCUCAAACAACAGGAGGGACCUGAUUUCAAUUCCUACAUCCUGUCAUCAGUGACUCUCGGGAUAUUUUGUUCUUGCAAGGCUAAGGAUGUGAUUCGAAUUUGCCAUACGGACAGAGCUUAAUGCGAUGCCAUUUUUACCACUGGCGCCCUCAAUCAGUUAAUUAAACAUGAUAUAAAUCACCACAUGUAUUUGUAAAGUAAGAUUAAUAUGGCAAAGUCAAAGUAAAUGAGGAAUCCUCCUUAUCCUAGGAGUGUGAAUCAUUGAUAGGAAGAUUACACUUUUGGAAACUCAAUACUUUUGAGCAGGCUUUGUUGGUUUAAUCCCUCAGACUGCUUUGUGCAACUUGAAACCUGGAGCUGUCAUCUUUAGCCAAAAUUUCAGCCAUAACUUCCUCAGCUUUCACCCCAUUAUUGAAAUCAGCAUUCACAAUACUUAACAAAGAUCAAACCUUUCAGCGGACCACAGUGCAGCCUCUUACCACCUGGGACACCAGAAACAUGUUUAAUAAAUAUUUCAUUUGGUUUUAACAUGAAGACUUUCCCUGGUUUCAAUUUUUUUUUUCUUUCCUGGGGAGCUAAGGGCUACCACCAAGCUGCACAUUCCGUCGCUGUGGUCAGUUAGGUUUAUAGCCUUAAUAAAAGGAUUUGCCCCCCUUCACAUGCUAGGGAGCCUUGUUAAACCACAGCAAUUAUAGAAACACAAGAUAGGUGCCCUGCAAAGAUCAAAGCUCACCUAAAGACAGCUCUGUAGGAAUUUGGAGCUCUCUUUGAAAAGCGCUCAGUUUACAAAGUGUAGAGGUAUUAAACCCUAGGAAUUAAAAAAAAGCUUAUUUUAGAAUAAUGUUAAAAGUCUGACAGUAGUUAAUAUGGGAUCUCCUUCAGCCACUCUUUGUGUAUUAUUUCUAAUAUCUAUUCACGGCAUACCUAUAAUAGCUCCAAAGGAACCAUUAUGCUCAGAAGACAUACGAAUAUGAUGGAUCCUUAAUACCAAAUGCAUUACCUACUCAGUAGGUACAUUUUAACCUCAAUAUCCCAGCUCAGGGACAGGGUGGGAAAAUAGCAUGUAAAUUUCUUUAGGAGGAAAAAAAGGCAGCAUGCCUGGGUCUUCAGCUUUGUGGCUCAGUGAAAUCCCUAGAGGCUUUGCUUUCCAUGCAGGAGGGAUAGGCGAUGGCCUGUGCUGGGCUGGACCAGGUGACUUUAGCAUCUGGCCUUUGGGCUGUGGCACAACUCACCCAACUCUAAUUGGAUGUUGAAGUACCCAGUCUUAGGCGUUGUAAUGUUUGCUCUACCUCUGUAGAUUGUAUCAUUCAUCCAGAAACACACAUACACACACACACACACAGAGUAAUGCAUGUAGACUCCAUUUCAGAAAAAGAAUGCUAAAACCUGAGUGGCCUAAACUUAAUUGUGUGGCUAUGGGAGCUUUUGGGUGACAAAGGAUCUGCAAGACAAACAAUUACUUUUGUGUGUAGCAUCUUACAACAGGGCAGUAUAAAUGGGCUCGGCCUGGGAUUUUGAAUUCUGUGCUUCAGCCUUGGAAAAUGAGUUAUUUAAAAGCAGCUAUUGCCAGGAACAUUUUAAUAUCUAUUUAGAGAAAACUAUUUGAGAUUUUGAGUGUCCAGGAGUCUUUAGCUUUGAAACAUGCAGAGAUAAAUGCAAACCCCUCAUUUUACGUCAGCAUAUCCAUUUUAAAUAAAAGGCUGUAAUGAUGAUAAAAGUAAGAGCUGAUAUUUAUUGACUGCUUGCUAUUUACCAGGCUGUAUGCCCAGUACAUUACAUGGAGUAUUACAUUUAAUCUUCAUGACAACCCUAUGAGGAAGGUUCCUUUAUCAUAUUUAUUUUACAGACGAGGAGACUGUGGCUCAGAGGGGCAAAGAUCACAUCACUAGCAAGAGGUGGGGUUGUGAUUUUAAUCUGUGUUACAUGACUCUAGAAGCCACGCUUUUACAGCCUGUUACUAUCUGAUUUGAAGUUUAUUUUGUACUGUGAUCUAAAGUUUCUAUUUUAUGCUUCCUUUUUAUUUAGCUGUAACUUUUAAGAGAAUUCUAAUCCUUGAAAACAAAGUUAACAGAGUCUAUUUUUCCUGAUUAACUUUCUGCUUUUAAUUUUAGUGUUAAAUGGGUAAUGUAACUUCAGGUUUUGUAUUUCUAAUAAUGUAUUUUGGAAAAUGCCAUACCCCAAGAGUUACCUGAAAGAGUUUCACGAUAGCAACUCUUUUUUUUUUUGCCUUGGAACCACCAUUUUAUAAUUAAUCUAAGACAAUGCCAUCAUUGAAAAUAGAAGCAAUCAACUAUCUUGUUUGCCUUCCCUUUGAAUAAAGCUUUUCCUUUGACUAGUUCAAGAUUCUGAUAUGUUAUUUAAUAGUGAAAGAGAUGUUCCAGAUUUAGAAGUAUUAUAGUGCAGCAUGAGUCAGAUAGGCCUGAAUUAGAAUCUUGGAUUCACCAAGUUUUGGUUCUGUGAUCUUGGGCAACUAUUCAAAUUCUCUUAAUCCUAUCAGAUUAUUAUUAGUAAAACGAAAAAAAAAAUAAUGCCAAUCAUA